CCCGGCCCGGCAGCAGACGACGCCACGACUAGGUGAAAACUUUAGUGUGGCGUGGCGGCUUACAGUGGGAACAUGGAGUGUGCAUGCUUAGUGUGCACAGUUACUAGCAAUGUAUGUCUCGCAAUGUUGUAUAUGCAGUAAAAAAUAUUGUGUGCAGAGAAAAGUAAGCAAAUAUGAAGUAUUACACGUAUAUUUGGUCCUUAAAUAGUGAUGACCAUGACUGACCGGGAAAGAAGCUCAUUUUGGGGUUAUGGCGUAUUGAGAUAUUGUUAGUGUGUAAAUAGAUGGAAAAUUUAAUGUUUCAUAUACCUUGCUACUGAAAGUGCAGUAAACAAAGCGAGUUAUGCUAUAAUGGACAUGUAUCCGGUCCUCAACACAACGUACUCUGGAUGGUGGCCCAGACAGAAUCCAGUACACCUGCAGAGCAAAGGAAGGAGGACCAGUUCAGGUGAAAGUGGUCAUAUUCACCAGGGAGCAGAAAAGGAAAGUAUUUCAGGAUGUUCAUGACUCCAGUAGAGGAGGAGCUCACAUGGGCAUCACUAAGACUAUUGCCAAAACUACAGAGAGAUUUUAUUGCAUAGGCAUUAAGAAAGAUGUAGUGAAUUGGACAGGUGAGUGUGACUGAUGUCAGAGAUCUGAAAAGAUGAAAACUGUAGCACCAUACCUGAAUCCUAUUAAGAGUGAAGGCCCUUGGCAGAUGGUUGAUGUAGAUUUGAUGGGGCCCUAAAAGAAACUCAGUCUGGCAACAAGGACAUCCUUACUUUAACAGACUUACACUCCAGAUUUAUAGAGGCAUUUCCACUGCCUUCAAAAUCUGCUGAUCUGGUAUGUCAUGUAUUGCAGAGUAUUUUCCACUGUUUUGGUCCCCCAGGGAAAACCUUAACUGAUCAGGGAAAGGAAUUCUGUAAUACAUUAAAUGAUACUCUUUUCCAUUGUCCAAGUGAAGCACCUUGUAACACUUGCUUGCCACCCCCAAACUAAUGGCCAGGAUGAGAGGACCAACCAGACGCUGAAGGGCUCUUUAACUAAAUUGGUAAAUGAGAAUCAGAAUGACUGGGACAAACACUCGGAGGCUGCUCUGUUUGGUAUAUGAACAUCAAUGCAAGCUUCAAUAAAGUGUUCUCCCUCUUUCUUGAAGUUUGGUAGACAGCCAACACUGUUUGUUGAACAGCACCAAAAUGAUCUUCAUGAAAAAGUUGAUAUUUUAGAAUUCCCAAAUUUGAGCCCCUCAGAUGAGUCAGUGGAAUCAAGAAAGAGUCGCUUGACAUCCAUAAAAGAAAAAGUUGGCAGUCAUGUUGCUAAAGCACAAGCUGAACAAAAGAAAUAAUAUGAAAUGAGGAAAGCUAAAGGACAUAAGUCAUUUGACUUUAAGAUUGGAAUGAAAGUUGUUGUAAAGAAUAAUAAAAAGCAAGGAAGGAAAGGUUCCUGGCUUGAGGAGGACUGGCUUGGGCCUUAUGACACACCCAGCAUCUUAGAUAACUUUGUACAAAUCACCACAAAUGGAAAA